UUGCUUAAUUUGUUUUUAAAUACUUUCCUGGCUGGGCGUGGUGGCUUAUGCCUGUAAUCCCAGCACUUUGGGAGGCCGAGGCGGGUGGAUCACCUGAGGUCAGGAGUUCAAGACCAGCCUGGCCAACAAGGUGAAACCCCGUCUCUACUAAAAAUACAAAAAUUAGCUAGGCGUGGUGGCGCACUCUUGUAGUCCCAGCUAUUUGGGAGGCUGAGGCAGGAGAAUCACUUGAACUCAGGAGGCGGAGGUUGCGGUGAGCCGAGAUCAUGCCACUGCACCCCAGCACCUGGCUACAGAGUGAGACUUUGUCUCAAAAAAAAAAAAAGAACAAAAAAAUUCUGACUUUAACCUCUGUUUUUCAGAGGGCACAAAUUGUUCUUGUAUUGUUUCCAUUUUACAUUUUUUUCUUGAAGUUAUUUUCCAAUUGUUUUCAUUCUUUCUGAAGUUUUGUUUACUCAGUUUUAAGUUUUUGUAAUUUUGAUAGACUUUUGUGCUUUCAUUUUCUUAAUGACUUUUACCUCAUUUUUAAAACAAAUCCAUAGUAUGGAUGAUAUUGAUGAUGAAAUGUCUUACGAUGAUCAUUUAGAGGUUUAUUUUGAACAACUGGCAAUUCCACGAAUGAUGGAAUAAAACAUAUGAAGUAGAAGGACUGGAACCUCCAGAAAAAGUACUUUAAGUUACCUACAGGUGAUCCUAGUCAGGUAUGAAUUGAUAAGAAAUGCCUGCACCUUCCCUCCUUCCUAUCUUUCCCUUGCCUACAGAAAAUUAAAAGGCAAAACAAUGGACAUCUACAUAUUCUUCAUUCAGAUCAACCAGUGGCUAGCAUUUGCCACCUUUUGCAGUUUCUUUCUCUUUCCAUAAGUACUUUCUUCUCUGAAUCAUUUGAAAGCAAAUGAAAACAGUAGCCUAAAGUGUCAGUUUCAACCAGAAAAUAACAGCUCUGAUUUCUCAUGGCUCACACUCUUCUGAAACGACUCGGGUAGAGGCUGAGGAAGGCCGUGUUGUUUGUCUACCUGGGACUACUCAUGCCUGUAAUCCUAGCAUUUUGGGAGGCCAAAGAGGGAGAAUUGCUUGAGCCCAGGAGUUUGAGACCAGCCU
rnacentral:lncRNA from 1 species